UUUAUAUGAUAUUGGUGAUGGAGCCCAGAGCUUCGUGGCUCCGGAAGCCAGGAGGCCGGGACUCAAAGAAUCCCCUGCGAACAGAGGUGCGGACAGAACAAUCGUGAAGACCCGACGAGAGCGCCGGAACUAGCACCAACGCCUGGUGGAAGCCUGAUGAAUCCGGUUUGAAAGUCCGGCGUCCAGACCUUUCCCUCCACACACCAGGGAAAAGGAGAGGCGGGCUGAACAUCUUCAGUAGCCAAUGGUCAGGCCCGGGAACUGCCUACAACAGGCACAGGUCCCGCCCGAGUCUUCGCUGGGAUUGGCUGGCUGCGCGCUGUACUCUACUUUGGAUUGGCUGCUUGUCUACGGUCCCGCCCCGACACGUGCUGAUAGGUUUCGUGUCCCGGUUUGGCUGCGGUCUUGGCUUUAGGCGGAUGCAGGGGCUUGGCGGAGAGUGUCCCACAGGUAUCCAUCUCUGUUUGGAAGGACACACAUUGUCACAUACCAGGUAGGAUUCCUACAAGGUACUGCUAACCACCUACACUGCCAUCAAAAUGAAAUCUCCAGACUCAGCGUGGCCAAGUAGAUCCAGGUGAUCAUACAAUAAUCAGAAGAUUCACUUACUUUGUGUGGGGCUAGCGUCCCUCUACGGUGCAGUCGAGCAGACCCAGGACCUGCUGUACACUAUGCAAGCCUUCUAGCCAAACUGCAUGUCUCGUCCCUUAUUAUGAAUUUUAAUAAACAUCUUCUCUACAUUU